rnacentral:snoRNA from 1 species
AAUCCAUGCAUCGGACACUUCCAAAUUAAGUCUUUGAAUCACUCCCAAGCUUCAUAUAUCGUUUCAUCCUCCAAUUGCCGAAAAGAUGUGAUGUCAUUUCUAAACUU